AGUUUGUUGUUUAUUGAUUAACAAAUACUUUCUGCCCGGUGAUAGUUUUAACGGCCGCGGUACUCUGACCGUGCAAAGGUAGCAUAAUCAUUUGCUUUUUAAUUGGGGGCUUGUAUGAAGGAAAAAACGAAUGCUUAGCUGUCUCUGUGUAAAGGUUAGAAUUUUCUGUUAUUGUAAAGAAGCAGCAAUGCUGAAAAGGGACAAGAAGACCCUAUCGAGCUUUAUUGCUUUGGAAGCUAGGCUAAUAUUAAUAAAGGCCGUAAUUUCGUGUGCAAUUUCGUUGGGGCGACGAAAAAAGAAUAAAUCUUUUUUGAGUAUAAAACUUUAUGAGUUUAAUCUUGAACGGCCUUUGGCCUUUAAGAGAAUCAGUUACCGUAGGGAUAACAGCGUAAUUCUUUUUGAGAGUUCGAAUCGAAAAAAGAGAUUGCGACCUCGAUGUUGACUUGCUUUUUCCUUUCUGGCGCAGAAGCUGUAAGGGU
rnacentral:rRNA from 1 species